AUUGAACUUAAGAGUUUGAUCCUGGCUCAGAUUGAACGCUGGCGGUAUGCUUUACACAUGCAAGUCGAACGGGCUUGGGGGCUUGCUCCCGGGUUAGUGGCGAACGGGUGAGUAAUAUAUCGGAACAUAUCCGGAAGUGGGGGAUAACGUAGCGAAAGUUACGCUAAUACCGCAUAUGCCCUGAGGGGGAAAGGGGGGGAUCGCAAGACCUCUCGCUUUCGGAGUGGCCGAUACCGGAUUAGCUAGAUGGUGAGGUAAAGGCUCACCAUGGCGACGAUCCGUAGCUGGUCUGAGAGGACGACCAGCCACACUGGAACUGAGACACGGUCCAGACUCCUACGGGAGGCAGCAGUGGGGAAUUUUGGACAAUGGGCGAAAGCCUGAUCCAGCCAUACCGCGUGAGUGAAGAAGGCCUUCGGGUUGUAAAGCUCUUUCAGCCGGAAAGAAAUCGCACUUUUUAAUACGGAGUGUGGAUGACGGUACCGGAAGAAGAAGCACCGGCUAACUACGUGCCAGCAGCCGCGGUAAUACGUAGGGUGCGAGCGUUAAUCGGAAUUACUGGGC
rnacentral:rRNA from 1 species